GCCUACAGGGCGCAGCAGUGAGGAAUAUUGGUCAAUGGCCGAGAGGCUGAACCAGCCAAGUCGCGUGAGGGAUGACGGCCCUACGGGUUGUAAACCUCUUUUGUCGGGGAGCAAGACCCGCCACGAGUGGCGGAGCGAGAGUACCCGAAGAAAAAGCAUCGGCUAACUCCGUGCCAGCAGCCGCGGUAAUACGGAGGAUGCGAGCGUUAUCCGGAUUUAUUGGGUUUAAAGGGUGCGCAGGCGGGCCUUUAAGCCGGCGGUGGAAACCCAGGGCCCAACCCCCCC
rnacentral:rRNA from 1 species